CUGCCAAUGCUCUGCUGCCGCCCCGUGUGGGAGUGAAGAAAGAGUGAGCCAAAAGUGAAUGCAGUCCUUAUAUAACGUGUGACAGGUGAGUGCAAUUAAGGACAAGCACCACACCCAAUCAAAGGUGAGAGAACUAAACAAGGUGCAUCUGGUGAAGUGAGUGGGUGUGUGGAGAUGUGCUAAAAGGGGAGUCCAUGGCCAACUCAGUGACUGUAAUGUGCUCGGAUCCCGUGGCUUCAAUACAUCAUUCCUCCAUCACCAUGACUGAAAGUUGACAAGCAAGCCAUACUUGUUCAGUUCUUUUCUUUUCUAAAUGUACUUUCAUGAACUUUAACAUUUACCACACUAAACGAGACCUGUGGAUCUGAGAUGUAGCUCUUCAUUUUUUAUUUUAUUUUAUUUUAUUUUUGCCAUUUUCUCUGAGCAUUGGUCUGCCCUUGAGGUGAAUCUGUUAAGAUGCCUGAAUGCUCCAGACCAGCAAGGUGCCAAGCCUUCUGAUUUUAUAGAGGUGUUCACACCUGCUGAUGACCAGUAAAUGAAGUGCAUUUGAUUGAAUCCAAUUUUCAUAGGACAGCAAAAACUUUCUUUUUCUGUUGAAUAAAGUUAAAUUACUACACCUGAUGACCAAGAUAAAAUUUCAAGCAGCAGAAACUUCAGAUGUUCAGAUAAUAUAGAUAAAUAAAGUUUGAUUUAUCAGAAAUGAUGAAAGCCAAUCAAA